rnacentral:rRNA from 1 species
AUUGAACGCUGGCGGCAUGCCUUACACAUGCAAGUCGAACGGUAACGCGGGGCAACCUGGCGACGAGUGGCGAACGGGUGAGUAAUGCAUCGGAACGUGCCCAGUAGUGGGGGAUAGCCCGGCGAAAGCCGGAUUAAUACCGCAUACGACCUACGGGUGAAAGGGGGGGAUCGCAAGACCUCUCGCUAUUGGAGCGGCCGAUGUCAGAUUAGGUAGUUGGUGGGGUAAAGGCCCACCAAGCCUUCGAUCUGUAGCUGGUCUGAGAGGACGACCAGCCACACUGGGACUGAGAAACGGCCCAGACUCCUACGGGAGGCAGCAGUGGGGAAUUUUGGACAAUGGGCGCAAGCCUGAUCCAGCCAUGCCGCGUGCGGGAAGAAGGCCUUCGGGUUGUAAACCGCUUUUGUCAGGGAAGAAACGCUCUGGGCUAAUACCUCGGGGUAAUGACGGCACCUGAAGAAUAAGCACCGGCUAACUACGUGCCAGCAGCCGCCGUAA